rnacentral:lncRNA from 1 species
GUCGCGCGCCUUCCCCGCCCCUGGCGCGCGGCAUAUUUAAGGGGGCCCCGGGAGGGUUGGGGCCCUUUUGCGCACCCCGGGGGGCUUGGGUGAGCUCGUCGGUGCCGGUCGGUCCGGCGACGGGACCGUGUGCGCUAGCUGUGUGACUUGCGGGCGGCUCCGUCCGUGCCGCAGGCCCAGCACCGGAGCCGUAGCUUGGGCCGCCGGGCGGCCAUGCGGGCCCUCCGGCAGCCGACCGGGGAGAGAUGGACCCGGGCUCAGAGCUGCUGCCGCUGCCUCCCCGAGGCAGCUCCUCCGGCAGAGCAUGUGCUCGUCCGAGUAGCAGAGCAGAGCCAUUUCCCGCUGUUUUCAGAGGAAUUAAAACUAUUAUCUGCUGUUCAGCGUCAGCGGGGUUGGAACUGGAUGAUCUUUAAGAUCCCUUCCAACCCCAACCAGCCUGUGGUUAUAAGUCCAGUUCUGGCAGCGCAAAACAGUAUAACCUCAGGAACUGAAGGGGCGGGUUGCUGGCACCGUUCCCUUAACGGCGUAAGGCAUCACUUAAAAGGUGCUGUGACAUCAGAUGACCUUCUCCACUGUCUCCAAAACCUGCAUAUGUGCAUACAGGCAGCAGUAGAAUCCAUCCACCUCUAGAAGAAUGGGUAUUUAAGGUGCUUGAAUGCAGCAGCCUGAAAUGUGGAGUUCUUAUGUGCUUGGAAAUGCUUUCCUGGCCCUUCCUGUUCCUCGGAAAUACGGCUUGAUUCAGCAGCAAGGCAGGGGAGCAGCUGUUCUGUGAACAAUCCUAAAAUGAUUUUCAG